UACGGAGGGAGCUAGCGUUGUUCGGAAUUACUGGGCGUAAAGCGCACGUAGGCGGCUUUGUAAGUUAGAGGUGAAAGCCCGGGGCUCAACUCCGGAACUGCCUUUAAGACUGCAUCGCUUGAAUCCGGGAGAGGUGAGUGGAAUUCCGAGUGUAGAGGUGAAAUUCGUAGAUAUUCGGAAGAACACCAGUGGCGAAGGCGGCUCACUGGACCGGUAAUUGACGCUGAGGUGCGAAAGCGUGGGGAGCAAACAGG
rnacentral:rRNA from 1 species